GUCCACGCUGUAAACGAUGAAUACUAGGUGUGGGAGGACUGACCCCUUCCGUGCCGCAGUUAACACAAUAAGUAUUCCACCUGGGGAGUACGACCGCAAGGUUGAAACUCAAAGGAAUUGACGGGGCCCGCACAAGCGGUGGAUUAUGUGGUUUAAUUCGACGCAACGCGAAGAACCUUACCAGGACUUGACAUCCAACUAACGAAGUAGAGAUACAUUAGGUGCCCUUCGGGGAAAGUUGAGACAGGUGGUGCAUGGUUGUCGU
rnacentral:rRNA from 1 species